rnacentral:rRNA from 1 species
CCUACGGGUGGCUGCAGUGGGGAAUAUUGGACAAUGGGCGAAAGCCUGAUCCAGCCAUGCCGCGUGUGUGAAGAAGGCCUUCGGGUUGUAAAGCACUUUCAGUGGGGAAGAAAGCCUUGGGGCUAAUACCCUCGAGGAAGGACAUCACCCACAGAAGAAGCACCGGCUAACUCCGUGCCAGCAGCCGCGGUAAUACGGAGGGUGCGAGCGUUAAUCGGAAUUACUGGGCGUAAAGCGCGCGUAGGCGGUCUGAUAAGCCGGUUGUGAAAGCCCCGGGCUCAACCUGGGAACGGCAUCCGGAACUGUCAGGCUAGAGUGCAGGAGAGGAAGGUAGAAUUCCCGGUGUAGCGGUGAAAUGCGUAGAGAUCGGGAGGAAUACCAGUGGCGAAGGCGGCCUUCUGGACUGACACUGACGCUGAGGUGCGAAAGCGUGGGUAGCAAACAGGAUUAGUACCUAGUAGUC